GACGAACGCUGGCGGCGUGCCUACUACCUGCAAGUCGAACGCAGUGGGGACGGGUGAGUAACACCUGGGUAACCUCCCCAUCAGAGGGGAUAACACUUGGAAACAGGUGCUAAACCGAUACUGAUGGAUGGACCUGCGGUGCAUUAGCUCGUUGGUGAGGUAACGGCUCACCAAGGCCACGAUGCCUAGACGAUCUGAGAGGGUGAUCUGCCACACUGGGACUGAGACACGGCCCAGACUCCUACGGGAGGCAGCAGUAGGGAAUCUUCGGCAAUGGACGAAAGUCUGAACGAGCAACGCCGCGGGAGGGAAGAAGGUUUUCGGAUCGUAAAACUCUGUUGUUAGAUAAGCGGUAUCUAACCAGAAAGCCACGGCUAACUACGUGCCAGCAGACGCGGUAAUAC
rnacentral:rRNA from 1 species